rnacentral:rRNA from 1 species
GAUGAACGCUGGCGGCGUGCCUAAUACAUGCAAGUCGGGCGAACGGACGAGAAGCUUGCUUUUCUGAUGUUAGCGGCGGACGGGUGAGUAACACGUGGAUAACCUACCUAUAAGACUGGGAUAACUUCGGGAAACCAGAGCUAAUACCGGAUAAUAUUUUGAACCGCAUGGUUCAAAAGUGAAAGACGGUCUUGCUGUCACUUAUAGAUGGAUCCGCGCUGCAUUAGCUAGUUGGUAAGGUAACGGCUUACCAAGGCAACGAUGCAUAGCCGACCUGAGAGGGUGAUCGGCCACACUGGAACUGAGACACGGUCCAGACUCCUACGGGAGGCAGCAGUAGGGAAUCUUCCGCAAUGGGCGAAAGCCUGACGGAGCAACGCCGCGUGAGUGAUGAAGGUCUUCGGAUCGUAAAACUCUGUUAUUAGGGAAGAACAUAUGUGUAAGUAACUGUGCACAUCUUGACGGUACCUAAUCAGAAAGCCACGGCUAACUACGUG